UCGGAGACGUGCCCUCUGGGGCCCCUCCGCGGAAGAGUGCUAUUGGAGGGACGGCACUGGCAGGUGGAGGCUGGGGAAUCAUCUGGAGUGGAAUUUCUGCCAAUGUCCAGAAUUUGAAGUUGCUGCUACUUGUGAGUUUUGUCUCUGGAGACUCUCAUGUAUCAAGAGGGGAGAGAACAGAUGCCUUGAAAUUUUGUGACCCAUGUGAACAGACCCCUUUAAAGCUCACUUUGCAUUUAUUGGGAGUCAUUAAAGAGUGUAGACUCACAGUACUGUCCAAUGGAAAUAUACUGUGAGCCACACACACAAUUUUAAAUUUUCUAGUAGUUACACUGCAAAGAAAUAGUAAAGGGGCAGGUGAAAUUGAUUUUAAUGAUAGAUUUUAUGAAUCACAAUAUAUCUGGAAUAUUAGCCAUCAAUAUGUAAAUAAUAUAAAGUUACAAAGGAGAUAUUU
rnacentral:lncRNA from 1 species